rnacentral:lncRNA from 1 species
CGAUGUGGUCCCGCACCACUUCCUUCCCUCUGACUCAGAGGGAGGUGGGUGCAAAGGAUGGGCUGUGGGGUGGACGUUCAACAAAGCCAAGGGGGUGCGUUCAGAGGGGGAGUUGAUCUGGAUAGGUUGGAUAGCCGGGCUGAAGCCAAUGGGAUGGGAUUCAACAAGACCAACUGCCGGGUCCUGCACUUUGGCCGCAAUAAGCCCAGGCAACGCUACAGGCUUGGGGCAGAGUGGCUGGAAGGCUGUGUAGAGGAAAUGGAGCUGGGGGUGUUGACUGACACUAGGCUGAACAUGAGCCAGCAGUGUGCCCAGGUGGCCAAGAAGGCCAAUGGCAUCCUGGCUUGUAUCAGAAACAGUGUGGCCAGCAGGAACAGGGAAGUGAUUGUCCCCCUGUACUCAGCACUGGUGAGGCCGCACCUCGAGUGCUGUGUCCAGUUUUGGGCCCCUCACUGUAAGAAAGACAUGGAGGCCCUGCA